rnacentral:lncRNA from 1 species
AGGCUUGGGGCACCCUGGGGGCUGCUGCCUGCCAGGUCCCUGUGCCCAGGGUAGGGAAGUUUCUUAUUUCUCCUGCUCCGACUUCCCCCUUUGAUUUAUUAUAGCCAUGAAAUGCUCUACUCUCUUCUCUUUUCCUUGCUGUCCCCCGGGGCUGGAGGAACACAGGCGUCCCCAGGCUCCGGGCCUUGGCCUGCUGCUCCCGUCUCCUCCUGAGGCCAGGGCUCGGGGGCCAGCAUGGAGAGGAUGCUGCUCACCCUUCCCCAGGUCUGGCCUUCUUCCAGGAGGGAGAGACCCUCGAGGCCUUGCCCCUGGAACUCGCCAGCAGACCAGGCUGGGAUGUGGUGCCUGGGAUCCCCCAGGUCCCCGAAUUCCAGCCUUCCCAGGAGGCCCUGAGCAGGCCCGCCAUGGGCUCUGGGAACUAAGCCAGCAUGCUGCUUUCUCACCUGGUCCUCAGAACCCGGGCAGCAGCCCUGUUGUCCCCAGUUUGUGGAUGUGGACACUGAGGCCUGAGCAGCCAGUGAACCCAAGGGCAGGGAUGGGAUCAGCAUCCAGGGCUCAGAGCUGCGCUCCCGUCUCCGCGGGGCUCCAGGAGCUUUGGAGAGGCUGACGGGGGAACGUGCACUGUGCACUGACUGCCCCCCCCCCCCCAUGCAGCCAAAGGCUUUCGCACAUCCACCGUCUGUCCUACGAGCCACGCUGCCCAGUGUGGCUGGCGACCUGCUGCGGACCGGGCCGGAGCCCGGGAGGAAAGGGCUCGCCCGCCGGGGCCCACAGGCCUGCUGUGGGCGGAGACCCCGGAUGUCCAGACAGCAGGGGUGGCGGCCGUGGCGCGGGGACGCCGUCCUCCGGGAGCAGCCGGGGUGUGGGCUGCCGUGGUGUCGGGCGGAAGUCGCUGUGGGUGGUGGUGGGUUUGAGGUGCAGGAGGCUGAGUGAUGUGGCGGGAGGUGAGCGCCCAUCCUCAGCCUGGUCAGCAGGAGCCGCGAUCCCAGCCCCAGGACUCAGGAGGCCCUGGCGCCCGGGUCCGUGGGUGGGGGCAGGAGCUAUGGCACCGUGGACGGACAGAGGAGGCCGCAGUCCGAGGGGCAGCCUGGAGGAGCCCGCGGCCUCGGAGGAGAGGCGUGUGGUGGGGGCCGGGCCGCGCGGCUGCCGGGAGAUUGAGAAAGAGCUUCUGGGAACGCGAGCCGCGGCUCUGGGGCGGGAGGGGCCGGUCCAGCUCAGGGCCCAAAGGCCUGGGCUCCAGCCGGGGCCCGGGGAGACCUGGAGGUCCGGACCGCGGGCUCCUGUCUGGCUUCUGUAAAAUAGCGCCUAGGAGGCCUGCGGCUUCGGACAGGGCAGAGGAGGGCGAGCAGGGGACCCCGGGGACUCGGCCAAGGCCACCCUCCCCGCGUGCACCCAGCCAGGCCUGGGUCUCAGCUGCCCAGGGCCCAGGUUCAACUUCCCUGGGCCCCGGUGGGCCAAGCCUCUCUAAAUCACAAGUAACAUGAGGGAUCCAACCCAGGGCCUUCACAUUCCCUCUACCCCAGCUCUUUUUUGUAUUUGGAGAAAGCAUCUCACUAAGUCACUCAGUUGCCAGGCUGAGGCAGGAGGAUUGCUGCAAGUUCAAGGCCAGCCUGGGGUACCUAGUGGGUUCAAGGCUGGUCUGGAUUACAUAGCAGGACUCUGUCUCAAAAGACAAAGAAAAGGGGCCGGGGAUGUAGCUCAGUGGCAUAGCACCUGCCUGGCAAACACAAGGUUGUGAGUUUGAUCCCCACUACCCUCAAAAAAAGCAAAAAAAGAAGAAAGAAGAAAGAGGAAAGGUGCCCAGUACUGGCAGCCUUGGUUCUUUCCUGCUGUGCAUGCCCCACCGUGACCCCUGCAUCGACUGUCACCGCCAACAUGGCCCUGUGCUAUCGUCGCCCUCUGUCCUCCAAGAGCAGACAUGAGGGUAGGGCCGCCCCACGGGUCCCCUGGC